UUAUAACUACAAAAUAAAUAAUUUUAAAGUAUGAUUGACAAAGAAUCAAAAAAUAAUAACGUGAUCGAGAUCAUAAAGUCCAAACGAUCACUUAUCUUUAGACAUGUGAAACGCUUCUCAUCAUUGCCUUUCACAAAUCGUUUUUAUGUGUAGUGGUUGAAUCAAAAUUUUAUUUUAAAAAAUAAAAGACGAAAUACAUAUACAAGCCACUAAACUAUUUCACUCUUCUCGUAUAGGUACCUCAAUUAAGACAGGUACCUAUUAAAUUCUUUACUCCUUCACAAAUGGUUUCAAUUGAGCCCAAUUAUCUGACGUGGCACUUUGCGUGUACUCACGUCUGGGAGGCGCGUGAAAUGUCAAUGGACCAGCUUUUAUGACACCCAAUGGAUCUUUUAUCCUCUUUUAUACCCAAUUUCUUUCAAAAAAAUACUAAUUCCCUCUUUCUUCCUCUUUUUAUACCCAAUUCUUAAUAUCCAUCAUUUUUGUCACCUAAAUUCUCCUUCUCCUCUUAAAUUUCUUUUCUGCCUUUUUUCUUGCUCCGCUUAAACUCUCAUACUCUUAUUAAUUUUUUCUUCUUACUCAUUUUUAGUAGUAAUGUUCAAUUUAUCUUUUUCAUUGUCUUUAUCUUCUUCAAUUUCAAAACAAGUAUGUUUAUGUGGGGUGAAAGUUGAAAUUAAGACCUCGUAGACAAAACUAAACACUGGUGGGAGAUUCUUUUGCUGCAAAACUUCAAAGGUGAGAGAUGGAUGCAAUUACUUCGAUUAUUAUGAUGAUGAAAUGCCUCCUCAAAGCAAAGAGGGUGAUGUGGAAUUUAUUGAAAAAAGUCAAAUCAUUUGAAGAAGAGAAGAAUAGAUCAAGAAAAUUUAAAGUGAUAUGCUUUGGGGCAAUAGUGAUUUUGGCUUCAUGGAAUUUCUUCAAGAAAUGUUCUUAGUUUUGGCCAAUAUUGGCUUAGGUUUCUUAUAUAUGGGACUAUUUUGAUUUGGAUAAUUCUGAAAUAUAUUAUUUGUAUGGGACUGUUUUGCUUUGGCUUUCCUGUUGUAGUGGGAUUGUUGUGUAUGAAACAAUUUAGAAGGAAUGAAUAUAAGUUGUGAAAUGUUACUC